UCAUGAUUUCUAUUAGCUCAAAUCGAGCUACUUUGAUUAUCAAAGGACUCCAAUUACCCGAGGAACAGAAGGUUCGCGACUCUCGGAGUACGUGAGAGAAAGCAUCGGAAUCCAGUAUGGAUGCAGGUACUGUGCACUGGUGACGGGACAAUGGCGGACCGAGCUGGGUGUGCGGAAC